UAAAACACCAGAUCUCAGAUGAUCACCAAAGUUAAGCAACAUCAAGCCUAGUCAGUACUUUGAUGGGUGACUGCUCGGGUAUACCAGGUGCUGUAAG